UGGGGAAUAUUGCACAAUGGGCGCAAGCCUGAUGCAGCCAUGCCGCGUGUAUGAAGAAGGCCUUCGGGUUGUAAAGUACUUUCAGCGGGGAGGAAGGUGUUGAGGUUAAUAACCUCAGCAAUUGACGUUACCCGCAGAAGAAGCACCGGCUAACUCCGUGCCAGCAGCCGCGGUAAUACGGAGGGUGCAAGCGUUAAUCGGAAUUACUGGGCGUAAAGCGCACGCAGGCGGUCUGUCAAGUCGGAUGUGACAUCCCCGGGCGCAACCUGGGAACUGCAUUCGAAACUGGCAGGCUAGAGUCUUGUAGAGGGGGGUAGAAUUCCAGGUGUAGCGGUGAAAUGCGUAGAGAUCUGGAGGAAUACCGGUGGCGAAGGCGGCCCCCUGGACAAAGACUGACGCUCAGGUGCGAAAGCGUGGGGAGCAAACA
rnacentral:rRNA from 1 species